rnacentral:lncRNA from 1 species
AGUAUACUUUGAGACUUUGCCCAAAGUACACGUCUAUAACUACAGAGCGAUAAUAGUAUUGGAAUUUGAGUAUAAUGGGGAACUGUUGUGACACCAGAGUUUUACCUCAACAAUCUACUGUUACACCCUUCUCAACUGAUGACCAUCCGUGUACAAAAUCCUCAUUGACCGUGGGCUCCAGAAAACGCCGGAACAUAUUUACAAUCAUAAGAAAUAUCCAUCACCAGAAUGCUGCUGUUACUGUGGAUACUGAAGAACAUCAAGCCCCAACUUGCUCAUCCACACAAACACCACAAAACAAAAGAAAAGCUAAAUGUGGUGAUGGUUCACCUUCAGAAGAGGACGAGGAAAAGUCAUCACUGAGGAGGGUUAAGGUAGUUUCUAAAAGAAGCAGACAGAGCUCACCUUUCUUGAGAAAUAAGUUUCGGAGGGGCACUCUUCUCCCAGUGGAUGCUGCACAAUGUGACUUCACAGAUAAAAGUUAUAAAGGAAAACCACAAGACAACCUAGAAGUGGUAGCUCAAUGUUCUGAUGGUGCAGCUUUGCCAGUGGACAAGGGGAAAGGAGCAGUGAAAAUGGUGGAGGCAACAUCGAAAAAACGAAGAUGUGUUUCUGCAAUCUUAAAGCUAUUUUCUCGAAAGCGAGUUGUGGCCCCCCUUAAAGAGAAAAGACCUCAAGUACUCCCUGGCACCUCCAAAGAAACAGCACCCGUUACAACAGAAGUGGUACCUGAAAAUGCGAACACUGCACCAUCAGCAAGGGGACAGGGAGAGCCACCAGUAGGGAUGGUGAAGGUGGAGACUAAAAAGCGUAGACACAGUAUGUAUUAUAGAAUCUCUUAAGAUACAUUUUAGAAAGGAAUUGCAUAAACACCAGAUAUUCUUUUGUCCAGUGUACAAUGGUGCUCUAGCCCACCUACUGGGAAGAACUUGUAUUCAGUUGUUCGUUUGUUUUUUUUUUUGUUUUGUUUUCUUUGGUUUUGUUUGUUCAAUUUUUUCUUAAAUAUUACCUUAACUUAAAAGAAAAACUGGAGGUGUUUGUCUACCAUAACUGGAUUCAAGUAUGAUCUCUCUAAGUUGUUUAAUAUGUGCUAUACCAGGCAGAGUCUAAAUCUGUUUUUUCUCAAGAUAGGUACCCUAAUUACUCAGAUCAAUCUCCAUUGACAAAGUAAGGAAGUAACAAAUUAGAAUACAGAGUUUACCUACAAAAUAUGAGUUGAAAGUUCUUCACAUGUAGUGCAUUCAUUUCUUUAUGGUGGUACUCUAGUGAAGAAUAAGCCAGGGCACAGAGGUGAGUGAUGUGGCUCUCCAUGCAGAUCAACAGACACUUUGUGUAGCAAGCACUUAGUGAUGCCUAUAUUCCAUAUUCCCAGCAUCUUCCUUCAGUAGGUCAAAAUCACUGAGAGCCCAGACUCUGCCAUGAUUACCACAGUGGGCAGAGCCAGGGCUUUGCUCUCCAUCUGCCACAGACAUACAUCCACAAGCAUGUGAUGUAGAAAAGAACACUCACUUCUAGUCAGACAAUAGAUUCUGACAAUGGGAGCCCAACACUGUAUGAGGGGACAUUUGUCACCUACAAUGACACCAAGCUGCCUUUCCAGUCUCCUCCAGUUGAGGGUUUAUCUAGGUGUGACCAGAUCAAAAGAAGCUCCCAUUUGCACACCUUCAUGUGAGAACGGGGUUGCACUGACUUGGAGUCUGAGUCAUCAGUGGGACUCUGCAGGCUUUGGUCCCCUCCCGAUUCUGUUCCUCAGUGAUCAGACUCAGUCACUGAGAGCCAGGUCACAGUGUGAGGAUGGUGGAGGAAGGCCCUGUUUACUGAUCCAGGAAUCCCACAACUUCUUUUGGGCUGAAAGGUAGCCUAUGUGUACCUUCAGUUGUAUCUGUCAGGGAAGAUGGCCACUGAUGCAUGAAUGCAGCUAUCAUUGUAUCCUUGGGUGAAAAGUCAGAGGGCCUCACAGCUUCUUACCUCCCCUACAUCCCACUAAGGCAGUGCCAUACAUUGCCCUUGAGAUGUAGUCGAUAAGAAUGAAGAGUAAACAAGUGUUCUACAAUGUUCUGGUAUAAAUGCAUUCCUGAGUCCAGGUGCAGUUACUCCUAUGCAGCUGAGGUCUUCUGGCCGGUCACAGACAUCACAGGGCACUCCAGCAAUGCCUGUGCUUUCCCUAAAGUAUACACUAAAGAGAUUGAUCUGUUCUAGCCUAGUGAGUCUCAUGGGAAGUCCUUCUCCACCAACUAAGAAGGAAGUCUUUGUGUUGUAGUGAAGAGUUGCUGGCUGAAGGCAUUGCAUGGGUGUCACUGUGUACUUGUGGCUCUAAGAAGGGUUAGAGUGAAGCCUAUUGUGCAGCACACUCACGCAGCAUGCUCAGUCAUAUGAAUCUUCCCUUUGUGUUUUUAUAUCCAUCUAUGUUCAGGCUCUAUCUGGGAAUCCUGUUAUGUCCAUUCAAUGCCUAACUCAUUAUACACAACAUGUAGUGCUCCUCCUCAAGUACCAGUCUCACUCUGAUGACUGUAUCUGAAACAAGCAGUCAGAUCAAAUGCACAAAUACUCAGUAGUUGUUAGUUUGCUUGAGUUUUCUGCCAAGAAGCUGACUUACUCCCUAUUAUAAUUGCAUUCUCAGUUUUUUCUUUUUUAAGGGGAAUUUGUCAUAAGACAACUGUAGUCCCCCAGGACACGCAGAGACCUUCAGUGUCUAAGGCUACAUCUACAAAAACAACUGAAAUAAAAACAAAAGACAUACCGGAGAAUGCUGACAACAAACUUGCACAAGAUGCCCAAAAACACACAUCAGAGAGCAUUGAGUCGGUGGAAGAAAGAAAACGGAGACGCAUUUCUGCAAUACUCAAAAGAAUGGAAUGCAAGCAAGCCAUAUGCCCUUCUGAGGUGAGGCAACUACAAGGCUGUACAAUUCUUUCACCUAAAACAAGAGGAAAGAGUGAUAAAGUUUCUUCAUUCUUUAGAAAAUUUUAUAGGAAGGACUCAAGUCCCUUCCAGGCUCCGGAGGAACCUCCAGCCCUUGAAGGGACAUCCAAAGAAAUGCAACCAACUACUAAAAGAGGGAGUCACAAUGCACCUGAAAUUAAGGAGAUAUUUUAUAGAGAAGAAGAGUUGGAAUAUCUUGAUGAGGGUUCCUUGGAAGAAUCUCAAAGCUGCAGUCACAAUGCACCUGAAAUUAAGGAGAUAUUUUAUAGAGAAGAAGAGUUGGAAUAUCUUGAUGAGGGUUCCUUGGAAGAAUCUCAAAGCUAUGGUAUCAAUGUUCCAGAAUCCCGAGAAACCAUUACUUCCACCAUGAGACAGCGUUAUUUUCUUCCAGAUAUUGAUAACAUAGAAGAUACAGAUACUGAAAAUGCACAAAAAGCUGUGGAUAGUCAAUCUGAUUCAACUGAGAUAGAAUACUGGGACCUGAGAAAUAAAUCGUCUACUGUUUCUCCUG